rnacentral:rRNA from 1 species
AUACGAAGGGUGCAAGCGUUACUCGGAAUUACUGGGCGUAAAGCGUGCGUAGGUGGUUGUUUAAGUCUGUCGUGAAAGCCCUGGGCUCAACCUGGGAAUGGCGAUGGAAACUGGGCGACUAGAGUGUGGCAGAGGGUAGUGGAAUUCCUGGUGUAGCAGUGAAAUGCGUAGAGAUCAGGAGGAACAUCCGUGGCGAAGGCGACUGCCUGGGCCAACACUGACACUGAGGCACGAAAGCGUGGGGAGCAAACAGGAUUAGAUACCCUGGUAGUCCACGCCCUAAACGAUGCGAACUGGAUGUUGGGUGCAAUUUGGCACGCAGUAUCGAAGCUAACGCGUUAAGUUCGCCGCCUGGGGAGUACGGUCGCAAGACUGAAACUCAAAUGAAUUGACGGG